AUAAUCACUUAUCAUGUGAGACUGCUUGAAAAUUUUAUGUACUGAAAUUACAUCCAGGUUCAAACACAUACGCCCCAAUAUGGUCUCUGUGCUCCGUGAGAAAUUUUCCCACCUUAAACCUCACCUUUUCUAUUGGUGGACAAAUAAGUUUUGAUGUGUUUCCUCAAGGUUUGGAUAAGACUUAUUAUUGCUUGGGGUACCUAGAUGAUUUUCGUGAAAUUCACUUCUUUGGAGACAAGACUUGCAAGGUAAAACGUAUGCCUAGCUUAUCCAUUUAUUUGGAUUUUCCCUCCUUUUCUGAUGGCGAUGUUUUUCUCCCUUGAUUGGUAUUUCCUGUGAGCCCACUAACUUGUUAUUGAACCUCGGUUCCCUGUAGUCAUGUCUUGUAAUGACAUUUAAUAGAUCAUGUGAAUUUUUUUUUGGCUGAAUAUUCUGUAGUACUCCAUUAGGACUGACAUGCUUGGGUGUUUGUUUGAGCAGGGGAGGAAAUGACUUUGAGAUAUAUGAAUCAGAGAGAACCUUG